CAGGUGAGCUCCCUUCCUUGGUUAGGAACCUGCCUUCAGGUUUUUCUGCCGACAGGCAAGGUCCUUUUUUCUGAUUAGGAACCUGCCCUCGGUUUUGCAAGUACAGGCAAGCUCCCUUCCUUGGCUUCUUGUAUCUUCUCGGCUCCCCACAGAAAAAAGUAAGCUAGUUGCAAAACUUGAAUUUGAAUUCGGUCUCUCUGUUAAAACAAGAUUUUUUUGAAAUGCUGCUUUUGAUAACAGAUUAUAUGAAUUUCUUUGCCUUGAAUUUGUAUUUGCUUUUGAAAUCCUUUGUUACGUUGGUUGAAUGAAUAAGUAAUGUGAAACAAUAAUCUAUGAUUCUAUCUGACCAGGUAUUUUUAAACUUUUCCUUGUGUGUUUUUCUUUUCUUUCUUUCUUUCUUUUUUUUUUUUUUUUUUUUUUUUUUUUACAAACUAAGUGUAAAUUACAGGGGAAACAUUGUCAAAUGAACAAUAUGGCACAAAAAAUUAACCCCUCAUUGUUAGACUUUUGCCAUCCUGACGCCCUUAUAGCUUGGUAACAGUCUGUUCCUAAAUCAGCUAACAUAGGUAAAGAGUAGUUGUGAAUUAGGAGUUCCUGUCAUGGUGCAGCAGAAAUGAAUUCGACUAGGAACCAUGAGGUUGUGGGUUCGAUCCCUGGCCUCAUUCAGUGGGUUAAGGAUCCAGCAUUGUGGUGAGCUGUGGUACAGGUCACAGAUACGGCUGGGAUCUGGCGUUGCUGUGGCUCUGGUGCAGGCCGGCAGAAACAGCUCUGAUUAGACCCCCUAGCCUGGGAAACUCCAUGUGCUGUGAGUGCAGCCCUAAAAAGAUAAAAGACCAAGAAAAAAAAAAAGUUAUGAAUUAAACAGUCAGGGCUAUGGGAAAUUCAAGACGGCCGCUUGGUUCUUCCCGGCUCCCUGGCAAACCCAAUAAUAUUAGACAAAGUGUUUUCCAUCUGGAGUAUACUUUCUACAGUCCAGUCCAAAUUUGGUUAAAAUGAGAGUAAUUUUAAAGAAAAAGAAUGUUUUGGAGUUCGCGUCGUGGCGCAGUGGUUAAUGAAUCCGACUGGGAACCAUGAGAUUGAGGGUUCGAUCCCUGGCCUCGCUCAGUGGGGUAAGGAUCUGGGUCACAGUGGUAGUUCGCAGACAUAGCUCAGAUCUGGCGUGGCUGUGGCGUAGGCUGGUGGUUACAGUUCUGAUUCGACCCCUAGACUGGGAACCUCCAUAUGCUCAACUUAAAUUUUUGUUUAUAACUUUAUGAACACAUACUAUUUUUAUUAACUGCGUUCACAAAAUUGCUAUUUCUUGCCUUGCCAAAUUUGUAACUGAGUCUCUGAUGAAAUGAUAAUAUAGUCUCAUAUGAGGUCAGUGAUCUCUAGAUAUGGGAAAAUGCAACAAGAGGGAAUAUUUUCCUGGACCCUAACAGACUAGGAAGACAGGUGGUCCAGAGACGAUUGGCUACUGUUAAUAAGGCCUAGUCCAGCAAUAGCACAUUGAGUUGCCUGUCAGCUAAAUCUUUGCCAGAUCUAGGAAUAUCCAUUCCUAGCACCGUGGGACAAAAUGGCCAUGAUAUGCCUCCCAAAACUAUGGUCGAAUUUAUGACCGUGGGGGAGCGCUGGGCACUGGAGUUUGGCCCUUGCCAUCAGCCUCUACAUGGAGUAAAACAUGAGCCACUGCAGCUUCCGACCCGCAACAGCCCCUGAGCAGAGCUCAGUGCGGAGACCAGGAGUGAGGCACUCGGUGCUAAGGGAAAACUGACCAAACAGGCCUUCAGAUAGUUAGAUUGCAGGUAAGGAUUUUUAUGGGCCCAAAUUCUUGCUUCUUCUCAUAUCUAGAAAAGCAGAAGUCAUUAACAGUGGCAUCUGCAUUGGCCAUUAGAGAGAAAAGGCAGGAUGGAGUAGCCGUGAGUCAGACACCCAAGCCAAGGUGAUACUAGGAAAUAUUAAGGGAGUGAUUUUCGACAAGACUUUGUAUUGCUAAGAACUUCAGGUUUAUGUGCCCAGUCAGACUUGAUGCCACCAGCUACCAAUAGCUCCUGUUAAUUAUGUGUCAAUAGUACAGCAAAUGUUAAAACCAACUUAGUUAAAACUACACACUUCCUUCAACAGUACCGGCGUCAACCUAUAUCACCAACCUCUGCUUAAUCUUAUUUUUUUCUUCCCAUCCUCCAUAGUAGGAACCUACCAUGUCCAGUCCAGCCCCCCAGCACUCGUCGCCCCUAGCCAGCAGGAAGUAGCUACGGAAGAGAGGACCGUCGCCCCAUCCCAUUUAAAAAAGGCUGGAAUGAUAGGUUCCCAGGAAGAUGGAGACAGGACUCUCCCCUCCGCCCCAAUGUGACUGUUCACCUUGGAGACCUGCUGUGGACGGCGGUACCGCCCAGCACAAGGUCGACACCCUUUCCCGGACUAUGGAGCCUAGAUUAACCACCUACAAGGAUUAACUGCCCUCCCUCUCAGCCGUCUCGGGACUCCAUCGUUGUUUGAGAAUCCAAAUUAUUUCUUUUAUUUGUCCCUGUAUUUGUGAUUUCUCUUUUUUUGUGCAGUCUACAGAAUUGGCUUGAUCCAUAGAAACCAAAUGAACGCCCUGCAAUCAAAAUUUACUAUGGCUGUUCUUAUACAACAAAUAAGUGAAAAUGGGAGGAGAUGUUGGAAACCACUGAACUGCUGAAUUCUGCUGAUGCAGAGUUCUGAAAGGUCGCCUUUACAGACAAGAUAAGGGCAUUUUUCCUAAACCAUGCUCUUCACUAAGCAGCCACUAUGCCCUAGAGGCAGGCACCAGUGUUAAUAGUUUCCUUUGUUAUUCACUAUGAGGUAGCUUUGUCAUUGCCUGUGCUUGAUUUUGUUAAUUCACCUACAUACUUUCCUUAAUAAAAGGCGUGUAGGCUAAA
rnacentral:lncRNA from 1 species